rnacentral:lncRNA from 1 species
AGGGAUGCCACCAGGCCUCCAGGGACAGAGUGUGUCUUCCGGCAGCUCUGAGAUCAAGUCCGACGACGAGGGCGAUGAGAACCUACAGGACACAAAAUCUUCCGAGGACAAGAAACUAGACGACGACAAGAAGGAUAUCAAAUCAAUUACUAGGUCAAGAUCUAGCAAUAACGAUGAUGAGGACCUGACCCCGGAGCAGAAGGCCGAGCGUGAGAAGGAGCGGAGGAUGGCCAAUAACGCCCGUGAGCGCCUGAGGGUCCGUGAUAUCAACGAGGCUUUCAAGGAGCUGGGCCGCAUGGUACAGCUCCACCUGAAGAGCGACAAGCCCCAGACCAAGCUCCUGAUUCUCCACCAGGCAGUGGCUGUCAUCCUCAGCCUGGAGCAGCAAGUGCGAGGUCCAAGUUGCCACCUUGCUUCAUUAAAACAAGAGACCACUUCCUUAACAGCUGUAUUAUCCUAAACCCACAUAAACACUGCUCCUUAACCCCGUUUUUUUUGUAAUAUAAGACAAGUCUGAGUAGUUAUGAAUCGCAGACGCAAGAGGUUUCAGCAUUCCCAAUUAUCAAAAAACAGAAAAACAAACAC